rnacentral:lncRNA from 10 species
CUGGAAGGAUCCGGGAGAGGGGCUCAGACAGGGCAGACAGCAGUGAGGCUCCAACCCGGGAGCAGUAUAGGCCAUCAUAGGGGGCGCUUCAAAGAGCCCGGUGCCCAGAGGCCUCGGGAAGGAGGAACUGAGGUGCAGAGCGGAAGCAUCGCUUGCCCAGGCCAAAACCUCACGUCAGCCCAGAUUCCCAUAAGGUGGGUCUGAUUCCAGUGAGCAAACACAAGAGGGAUGACAGAAGCAGGUGUCACCCUCUGACAACCAGAGGGCAGCAACUGCUUCAGGGUGGGGCCGUCCAGGGUCUAUAGGCCCGCGGGGGAAGGCAGCGGGGGCGUGUUCACAGGUGCCUCCAGGCUCAGAGGAGCCUGCCCUCAGACGCUCCUUGAGUACACAGCCCCAGAGGGAGCUUCCAAGUGGACAGACAGCACAGACACGUGUUCCGGGCCAGCGUGAAGACAUCUGUUGGCUAGAGGUCUGAUUUUCUGUUUUUUUUUUUUUUUUUUUUUUUUCUGAGACGGAGUGUCGCUCGUUUCCCCAGUUGGAGCGCAAUGGCGCAACCUCAGCUCACUGCAACCUCCACCUCCUGGGUUCAAGCGAUUCUCCUGCCUCAGCCUCCCAAGUAGCUGGGAUUACAGGCGUGCGCCACCAUGCCUGGGUAAUAAUUUUGUGUUUUUAGUAGAGACGGAGUUUUGGCCAUGGUGGUCAGGCUGGUCUUGAACUCCCGACCUCAGGUGAUCCACCCACCUCGAGCUUCCAAAGUGCUGGGAUUACAGGCGUGAGCCAUUGCGCCUGGCCUGAUUUUCCUUUUAAAUAGAUUUAAGAAUUCUACCUAAUGUUGAAAAAAUGCACACAUUUGUAUGGGACAAAAAAGGGCCUAAAAGAAGGAAAACUGCAUGCUGGAAGGUUGCUCUACGUUAACCUAGAUAAUGAGAGGAGGGAAGCGUGGGUGCAGCUCACUCCCUGCAAGCUGCCAGCCUUUCAUCAGUGGAAACAGGUUUCUGUACCACAACCUGCUCUUCACUAACAGCUCACUUAAAAUAAAAAUAAGAGAUCAAGGCUGACCUGACUCAUCAUGGGACAGACAGGUAUCAGCUGAGGGCCGCGGCGAAGCACCAGUGGCCCACUAUGACCUCGGGCACUCCUGACGAAGAGCCACUCAGGACUCAGCAGAUGGGCCCGUCACCGGCGAUGGGCGCCAGCUUACGCCAGCUGAAAACCCCAAGGAGCCAGGGCAGCUAAAGGCAGCACCCAUGAGGACGCACCCUGGCCAGCCCAGGAGCCACCAGCAGGUGAGUGGCGACCCGGAAGGGGAGCCUCGGCUGCCUUCCAAACCCCUGUCCACGCAGCUCACUGCACAGGACAAGACAGUCCGUGUUCUUUGAGACACCUGG